rnacentral:rRNA from 1 species
GUGGGGAAUCUUGGACAAUGGGCGCAAGCCUGAUCCAGCCAUGCCGCGUGAGUGAUGAAGGCCCUAGGGUUGUAAAGCUCUUUCGCAGGUGAAGAUAAUGACGGUAACCUGAGAAGAAGCCCCGGCUAACUUCGUGCCAGCAGCCGCGGUAAUACGAAGGGGGCUAGCGUUGUUCGGAAUUACUGGGCGUAAAGCGCACGUAGGCGGAUUGUUAAGUUAGGGGUGAAAUCCCGGGGCUCAACCCCGGAACUGCCUCUAAUACUGGCAAGCUCGAGUCCGAGAGAGGUGAGUGGAAUUCCGAGUGUAGAGGUGAAAUUCGUAGAUAUUCGGGGGAACACCAGUGGCGAAGGCGGCUCACUGGCUCGGUACUGACGCUGAGGUGCGAAAGCGUGGGGAGCAAACAGGAUUAGAAACCCCUGUAGUCC